rnacentral:rRNA from 1 species
GCGCAGCAGGCGCGAAUACUUUACAAUGUGCGAAAGCACGAUAAGGGAACUCUGAGUGCCUCCUAAGGAGGCUGUUCAGGUGUCUAAAAGCACCUGAAGGAAGGGCUGGGUAAGACCGGUGCCAGCCGCCGCGGUAACACCGGCAGCCCAAGUGGUAGCCACGUUUAUUGGGUCUAAAGCGUCCGUAGCCGGCUGGGUAAGUUCCUUGGGAAAUUUGGCUGCUUAACAGUCAAGCUUUCAGGGAAUACUGCCCGGCUUGGGGACCGGGAGAGGUCAGAGGUACUCCAGGGGUAGGGGUGAAAUCCAUUAAAUCCUUGGGGGACCACCGGUAGCGAAGGCGUCUGACCAGACCGGGUCCGACGGUGAGGGACGAAGGCUAGGGGCGCGAACCGGAUUAGAUACCCCCGUAGU